GACGUAGGGGGCGAGCGUUGUCCGGAAUCACUGGGCGUAAAGGGCGCGUAGGCGGCCUGGCAAGUCGGAUGUGAAAGGUCCCGGCUCAACCGGGGAGGUGCAUUCGAAACUGCCAGGCUUGAGGGCAGGAGAGGGCAGCGGAAUUCCCGGUGGAGCGGUGAAAUGCGUAGAGAUCGGGAGGAACACCAGUGGCGAAGGCGGCUGCCUGGCCUGGCCCUGACGCUGAGGCGCGACAGCGUGGGGAGCGAACGGG
rnacentral:rRNA from 1 species